CUAAAAAUGAAAACUUCCCCACUCCAUCGGUAACUCAACUCACAGUGUCCCACCCUCCCUCAGUCUCACAUCCCUCUCCUUAAACUCUUCAUCUUCUACGCAAAACCGAUCCAAGCACUCAUUGCAUUCAUCUGAAUGUCGAUUUCAAGUACGAAAAUCACAGCUAAUUUUGACCUUUUAAAUCCCCAAAUCCAAUCACUAUCCUCAUUCCUUUCUCUUGGGUUUUGGUUGACCUCGAUUGUAAGCAAUAAAUUUAAGGUUUCCAAAGUUCAAAUUCAAGUUAAGAUUAUGUUGCUUCUUUCUCUUGUCCAUCCUAUAUUCCUAUUGUUUCGGGCUUGAAAACCGAGCUUAAUUAUGGAGAUGAAUUAUGCGCCUGUAUUUCAUCUGACGGCUCUCCCAAGCCUCUUUCCAUGGAUUCUGCAGCAGGGGGGCUGACAAGCACUUGCUACUGUAGAAUCUAAGGCCCCUUAGAUUGACAGUUUGUAGGAGGUGAGCAAAGGACGACAACGUAAGAGCCCCAGUCUUGUGGCAUAUGCAAAUAUAGCUUUUAUUAUUCAAGAGGUGGAUAUGGUGGAUGGAUUGAAUUGUACCCGCAAGUAGUUUUGGCAACUAAAUUCUAAUUAUGGUUGCUGUUAAGUAAGCCAUUUUCUUAUUAUCUACGUUUGUGCUAUCUGCCAGAUAUGUAAAGCAAAUUUUCAGAUGGAAAAUAUAUGAUGGUGUGAUGGAGAAAUAUUUAUUCUACUC